GAGGGUGUAGCUCAGUGGUAGAGCACAUGUUUAGCAUGCACAAGGUCCUGGGUUCAAUCCCCAGGGCCCCCU
rnacentral:tRNA from 1 species